UUCCUCCCAGCCCCUGUUGGAUCAGCGUCCCCCCCCUCCCCUGUCAGCCUGUGAAUCUGUCUCUGAGUGGCUUCAUGCUAUCAAGAUGUCUCGUUAUGAAGAGAGCUUUACACAGGCAGGAUUCACCAACUUGGACGUCAUCGCACAGAUCUCUACAGAGGACCUGUUGCGUAUAGGUGUGACUCUAGCAGGACACCAGAAGAAGAUUCUCUCUUCCAUCCAGACCCUUAGAGUUCACAAAACUCCUCCCACACUCAGAUACUGACCAAUCGCCUAUCACAGCCCCCUGGAAUCCCCUCCCACCCUCCCAUACUGGCCAAUCACACCAAAGCCCUUCAACAAGCCACCAGCCAACCACGAACCAGUCGUGAUGAUGUCGCUAUGCCAACGGUGUCCCAAGCCAAUCACUGUACUCGGUUCCACUGUGAUGACACAAUGGAUGUGUGUCCUCUUCAACCAAUCACUUAUCAGGAAGACAGAGAGAGAGACGGACGUGAAUCCUGUAGUUUUAUAAUACCGCCUUGUUGAAGUUCAUGGGAAUACUGAACAGUUUAAUAAUACCACCGGAAUCCUCUGAGAAUACCGUUGGAAUACUGUGGAAGAGUUUUCCUCUGGAACACUGUUUGGGAUGAAGGAUUCCCACCCAUCAGGUUUUCCGAGAUAUUCCCUCUGACGGAGGUGUGGUGUUGCACCUGGUAGACGGAGGUGUGGUCUUGCACCUGGUAGACGGAGGUGUGGUGUUGCACCUGGUAGACGGAGGUGUGGUGUUGCACCUGGUAGACGGAGGUGUGGUGCUGCACCUGGUAGACGGAGGUGUGGUGUUGCACCUGGUAGACGGAGGUGUGGUGUUGCACCUGGUAGACGGAGGUGUGGUGUUGCACCUGGUAGAAACUGCCUUGGUCCUGAAACACUGUGUGUCCCAAAUGGUCUAUUCCAUACGCAGUGCGCUACCUUUGGCCACUACCUAAACAAACCCGAAUCCCUCCCAGAUAGAGACAACAGCUGGAUGGAUCUGUUCUACAGUAGGACUAUUAGACCUGACUGAUUUAAAAACACUGACGCUGAUUUAAAAUAUUCUAGAGAGACUGACUCUGAUUUCAAACCUGACUUUUCUAGAGAGACUGACUGAUUCAAAACCUGCCUUCUUCUAGAGAGACUGAAUCUGAUUUUAAACCUGACUUCUAGAGAGACUGAAUCUGAUUUCAAACCUGACUUUUCUAGAGAGACUGACUGAUUCAAAACCUGACUUCUAGAGAGACUGAAUCUGAUUUCAAACCUGACUUCUAGAGAGACUGAAUCUGAUUUCAAACCUGACUUCUAGAGAGACUGAAUCUGAUUUUAAACCUGACUUCUAGAGAGACUGACUCUAAUUUAAAACCUGACUUCUUCUAGAGAGACUGAAUCUGAUUUCAAACCUGACUUCUAGAGAGACUGAAUCUGAUUUAAAACCUGACUUCUAGAGAGACUGACUGAUUCAAAACCUGACUUCUAGAGAGGCUGACUCCGAAGUCACAGAGGUGUGGAUGGGCCCUAGAGUUGACCUCUGCACUCUGAACUCUGACCCCAGCCCAGGGCUCCAUGACCUGUGGAACUAUGGGAGUUUAGUCCUGAGGCCUCUCCCGUUGCAUUAUGGGAGAGGUAGUAUCCCAGGCUCUGUAUUAAAGUUGUUUAUUGUUUAUUAUUAUGAUGGAAUCAGGAUGUUUUGUAAUAACUAUCAUUAUUCUGUUGCCUUUUCUAAGAAGCAGUUCCUAAAUAUGACUGAUAUAUAAAUAUAUAUAUAUUAUUGUUAUAGCAAAGAUUGAUUGGGAGAGGGGCCGUCUGUCUGUCGCUGUGACCAUUCACAAUAAAGAUGACCUAAGCUGU